CUUGGAAAGAAUUAUAGUUAUGAUGCGUCAAACUACAUUCAGAAACAGAGCUUCAUUUGAAAAAGACCUACUAGGAGCAGAGAUGAGAAGCAGCAUUCAACCACUGAUGAACAAGAGAGAAGGCUUGCAAAAUUCUCAAGAUGUCAGUGGUGGAAGAUCUCAAAAUACACCAGCAAAUUGUAUUUUCUAAAUGAAAGUCUCAAGCUUACUUACAUUAAGAAAAAAGCUGACUUCUGGCCGGGCGCGGUGGCUCACGCCUGUAAUCCCAGCACUUUGGGAGGCCGAGGCGGGCGGAUCACGAGGUGAGGAGAUGGAGACCACGGUGAAACGCCAUCUCUACUAAAAAAAUACAAAAAAAAAUUAGCCAGGCGCGGUGGCGGGCGCCUGUAGUCCCAGCUACUCCGGAGGCUGAGGUAGGAGAAUGGCGGGAACCCGGAAGGCGGAGCUUGCAGUGAGCCGAGACCGCGCCACUGCACUCCAGCCUGGGCGAACUGACAUAAAACAUCACAUAUUGUUGAAAAGUAUUUUUAACUGAGUAAAAAUAUGUAUAUUGAACUAGCAAAGUGGGUUUUCUACAUAAAUAUAUUUAUAUUAUUUUCUCCUGAAUUUUGAUACCAUAAUGAAUUUUUUCUUAGAUUUCCUAAUACCUAAC
rnacentral:lncRNA from 10 species